rnacentral:rRNA from 1 species
ACCGGCAAACGGGUGCGGAACACGUACGCAACCUUCCCAUAACUGGUGAAUAGCCCUCCGAAAGGAGGAUUAAUACACCGUAACAUAAUGAAGAGGCAUCUCUUUAUUAUUAUAGGCUUCGGCCGGUUUUGGAUGGGCGUGCGCCUGAUUAGGUAGUUGGCGGGGUAACGGCCCACCAAGCCUGCGAUCAGUAACUGGUGUGAGGGCACGACCAGUCACACGGGCACUGAGACACGGGCCCGACUCCUACGGGAGGCAGCAGUAAGGAAUAUUGGUCAAUGGACGAAAGUCUGAACCAGCCAUGCCGCGUGAAGGAUUAAGGCCCUCUGGGUUGUAAACUUCUUUUAUAUGGGACGAAAGAAGGGUAUUCUUACUCACUUGACGGUACCAUAGGAAUAAGCACCGGCUAACUCCGUGCCAGCAGCCGCGGUAAUACGGAGGGUGCAAGCGUUAUCCGGAUUUACUGGGUUUAAAGGGUGCGUAGGUGGGCAGUUAAGUCAGUGGUGAAAUCUCCGAGCUUAACUCGGAAACUGCCAUUGAUACUAUCUGUCUUGAAUAUUCUGGAGGUAAGCGGAAUAUGUCAUGUAGCGGUGAAAUGCUUAGAUAUGACAUAGAACACCAAUUGCGAAGGCAGCUUACUACGGGAUUAUUGACACUGAGGCACGAAAGCGUGGGGGAUCAAACAGGAUUAGAUACCCUGGUAGUCCACGCCCU